UGGCGCGCUUCCCCUUUUGCAGCAGGCCAAGAUGGCUCCACUUGGUUUGUAGCAAGGAAGUGGCUGGCCUUUUUGCAACUAUCUAUCGCCUAUCUAUCUAACUAUCGCUUGCAAAGGCCCGAAGAAGAUGAAUCUUUCCAAAAGGAAGCGCCGACUUGGAUUUGGGAAAACCCGACCCGAGAAGAAGUCAUUUGGGAAGAGAAAACAAUGUUAAGAAAGCUGUGAAGUUGGGACGAAGAGCCUUGCAACAAUGAAGUUCUCACGUGUUCUGACAACAUGUCAAUUUUGAUACUUUAGUAGAGGUGUAGCUUUUCUAAACCAUAGAAAAUACACACACCUCCACAUUUUAAAAGACCUAACAAGUUAAGUGACAUGCUCAGUAUAGCUAAAUAAAUAAAUGCUGCCACCUCUAAA